UGGACAGUGGAAGGUUGACUAAAGGGAUUCCAGCAGGUUGUUGUUGUGAGAUGCGUAAGGGAGCUGCAACAGGGAUAGUUGUUUGUAUUGAGUACAGUAGGCGGCAUGAAGAUUCCACUGGAUGCCGAGGGCUUGGGAGACUGCUUGAGUGACCUGACUAAUGAAGGCUGGUCCGUUUCAGAGUGUAUAGAGGUGGGAAGGCCAAACCAAGGAAUUAUGUCUGACAGAAGGGAAGAAAUGACCGUGGUGGCCUUCUCAGACCCUGUGGGAAAGGCCUCUACCCAUCCAGUGAAUGUAUCUACCCAGACGAAAAGGUUCUCGCUCUGUCGCCCAGGCUGGAGUGCAGUGGCACAAUAAUGGCCCACUGCAGCCUCGACCUCCUGGACUCAAGUGACCUUCCUGCCUCUGCGAUAGUUUUUCAUGGAUGCUUCUAGUAGUUUUUUGGAGGGACGGUGUGUUAGGAACAAACUGCCCAAAAAGCUUCUUGGUACUGCCGACACUUCCCCCCCAAACCCUUCCGUGCUGUCCACCCCUUCCCCUAAUGCUCUACAAUUCUUCUCCUCCCCCAAGCCUCUUUACACUUCUAAGCCCUUACGAAGCCAGCAGACUUCACUUAUCAGACCUUGCUGCAAUAAACCCCAAUUACAAACCAUUCGCACCGCACAGGGGGAGGUGGUGGGAAGCAUAAACAAAUUUUACCUACACCCUCCUGUAAAAAACGUCACAAGGUAAUAUGUGGCAAAAUUAACCAGCAAACAACCCCAGGGUCUCUUUCCCCCAUACAAACCCCUCAUUUUGUAAGCUCAGGGGUGCCUCCUCUGUCUCUGGUGUAGCAGCCGGCAGGUUAAUAAACUUCCUCGCCUGACC